AAAAAAAUAACCCUGGUCGGUCCAACACCGGGGUGUACCAAGGUCUUUUCGCGUAGAACUCCUUUUUGUGCUGGCGGCCCUCGGGGGGUCGUUUUUGAUUCUUUUGCUUCUUUUACGAAAUAUGUAGAUAAGGUAUCACAUAAGUCAUAGUAAGCCAUACGUCAGCAGCAAUUAUGUGUAUAUUUUUUUCUGAAUCUAGUGAAUUUCUUCUAUCCGUACAUACUCAUUUUAACCCGGAAUUCGGGGGAUGCUAUUUUAAAAUUUACCAAUAUUUUAACGAGGGUUCUUCACUAAUAUAUCAUUAACUGUGUAAGAGGCUAAUGUCGGACGUCCAAGGGCUAAGUAUAUUGAGGAAAAGCCCUGUCCAAAUUUAAGGACCACGUGGUCCAAAUGGUCCAUGCUUGGGAGCAGAUCUGGUUACAUACCUAAUCGCAUGUUAAUUGCGCGGCAUCAUAUUAAAAGUGGGAUAUAAAGGGGUGUUGUGGAAUCCAAGACAGAUUUGCCUAGCUGUCAGAAUUGCAAACCAAUUCUGAUUUUCAAUGGUGUCACAGAAUCUGAUUGGAUUUUUGUCUUUUCGAACAUAUGCAAAACCAAUAUUCGAAUCAGCUGUUUACUAUUGUGAACUUUGAAAGCAAUUGUAGUAAAGUUUAAAAUUAGUUCCAAAAUUUUAGCUUUUGUUUGUUUGAAGAAAGAAAAAAAAAAUUAUAAGGAAAAUAUUAAGAGACCACAGUAACCCACUUGAUGGCCCAGGGGAGUCGUAAGUGAAAUUUAGCUUGUAUUUACUUAUCAUCUUUUAUGUAUUUUAAAGCUACUUUACAGAUUUAUAUCACAUUAUCGACUGAAUAAAGACGCAUUCCUUAUGGUGUUAAAUAUCAUCGAACCACAUUUGCAGCCCUCGACGAUUCCGCCUAUAAUUCAAUUGCCAGCAACACUGCGAUUUUUAGCAGAGGAGGCUUACCAACGGAGAAUAGGACGUGAUUCUUGUUGCAGAUUUUAACGCAAGUGAUACAAGUACAUUUGCGGUCAGUGCAUAAAACUUUCUAUGGAUGAAAACGAAAAGUUGAUUUCAAGAAAUCACUUUUUUGGAAAGUACAAAAUACCCGGAAUUGUCGGUUGCAUAGAUGGAGUACAUAUCAAAAUAAUAAAGCUACCUGAUGAUGAGCAUUUGUAUUUUUACCGAAAGGGAUAUUUUAGUAUAAAUGCGAUGAUAAUUUGUGACAACGAUACGCAAAUACGGGCCGUAGAUGCACCAUAUGAGAGUGGACAGCGCUCAUUGAGGUUGUUGGGUGAUUGUGUCUACGGAAUUGAACCGUUUUUAUUAACUCCAAGGAGUAUAAAUUCAAUAUAGCACAUACGGCUGCUCCGAAUAUUGUGGAACGAACAAUUGGAGUUUUAAAAAGCCGUUUCUGCAGUUUAAUGUGUACAUUACAUUAUCGCCCUGAAAAAGUUGUUAAAAUUGUUAACGUCUGUUGUGCGUUACAUAACAUCAGCAGACGUUACAACAUUGAACACGAUCAAGAAGUUUCUUGCAAAUGAAACUAAUGAGGACAAUUUUUUCCCAUCUGAUAAUGGUUCAAUGCAAAGCGAAGGCCGGAGAAUAAGAGACGAAAUAGCAUAUACUUUGUAAUUCAAUGUAUUUUUUUUAAAUUUAAAUAUAACAGUCUUCAUGACUAAACUAAAAUCAGUCUUAAUUUUUAAAUUCAGGUACAACCGAGAUCUUUGAUUAAAUGAUAUACUUAUUAAUUAAUCUUCUUUUUUGCGUUAUUUUGUUUUUUGUAUUCGAACUUAAGAAUUUAUAUAUUUAGUUGCUCUUUUUUAAUCUCAUUUUUUUCAAUAAUACUUUUAAGCAAUUGAGAACUUAUACUAACAAACUCAUCUGUCAUUUCCGUAAUAGCUCUUCCAACAGUUUUAUUAUUAUUUUCUAAUGCUUGGUAUAUACGCCUCAAGUCUGCAGUUCUAUUAAUUUAUAAAAUUUUUCAAUAUAUCCCCAGUUUUGUUGGUUUCUUCAUCUAAAAAUCUUUUUAAACGGUCUGGUGUACUCUCUAAUUUUUGUCUUCUAGGUACAUAAGCAUUUCUUUCUCGUAACCCUUGGGACGUGGAGGGUAUAUCGUCGACAUCUUUUUGCCUGUUAUAUGCAAUAGAAGGUAAAUUUUCUGCCUGUUGCUCUAGCGAUGAGGAAGACAAAUCUAUAUCUGGACUCACCCCUGCAAUUGCGACAGAUACAUUCUCAUUGACGGGUUGGGUGCCAAGAGAAACGCCUGGUAUGCCUUUCACGGUUUGCGAAAUGCCGCAAAAACGCACAAUUGUUUCUUCAUUUUGAGUUAGCUGAUAUUUAGAAAAGGAGCCAUAGAAUUGCUCAACUCUCAAUUUUGUUGUGAGCUAAUUUUCUUUUGAUUUUGCUCUUCCUCUCAGUUAUGACCUAUAAAAAUAAGUUUGUUUAACCUGCAAUUUAAUUUUUACUAAAAUUCAUUUAUUUACAUUUUUCCACCCGGAGACAUCUUUAUGUGGUGGACCUGCAUCAUUAACGGAUUCCGUUAAUUCCUGCCAUAAUGUAUCUAUAAUUGGCUUAUUGCGUUUUGUAAAUCCUCUUAUGAUGUCUGGAUUUUUUUUCAUGAAUUCAAUUAUUAGUGUAUUUUUUGUUCUGUUCUUAUGUUUUCCCCUAUAAAGUUAAAUCAAUUAUUUGUAUUUUCGUGGACUUGGGCAAGUAUAUUGUAUAUAAUAUUAUGAUAUUAAAGUGUAUAAUAUUAUGAAAGGGUAGAAUUUUAACCUCUAUUGAGUGAUUAGUGAGUGUUUAAAAUUUAGUGUUAAAAAACCCGCUUUAAACGCGUCUCUAAAGCAAAAAAAAAAAA